rnacentral:rRNA from 1 species
CAGUCGCCGCGGUAAUACGAAGGGUGCAAGCGUUACUCGGAAUUACUGGGCGUAAAGCGCGCGUAGGCGGCUUUUUAAGUCAGAGGUGAAAGCCCGGGGCUCAACCCCGGAAUUGCCUUUGAAACUGGAAAGCUAGAAUCUUGGAGAGGUCAGUGGAAUUCCGAGUGUAGAGGUGAAAUUCGUAGAUAUUCGGAAGAACACCAGUGGCGAAGGCGACUGACUGGACAAGUAUUGACGCUGAGGUGCGAAAGCGUGGGGAGCAAACAGGAUUAGAUACCCGGGUAGUCCCUGUCUCUUAUAA